rnacentral:rRNA from 1 species
UACAGAGGGUGCGAGCGUUGUCCGGAAUCACUGGGCGUAAAGGGCGCGUAGGUGGCGUCGCAAGUCGAUGGUGAAAGCUCGGGGCUCAACCCCGAGUCGGCCGUGCGAACUGGGCUCACUGGAGCAUAGUAGAGGCAGGUGGAAUUCCGGGUGUAGCGGUGGAAUGCGUAGAGAUCCGGAAGAACACCGGUGGCGAAGGCGGCCUGCUGGGCUAUGGCUGACACUGAGGCGCGACAGCGUGGGGAGCAAACAGGG